rnacentral:rRNA from 1 species
AUACGUAUGUCGCAAGCGUUAUCCGGCUUUAUUGGGCGUAAAGCGCGUCUAGGCGGCUUAGUAAGUCUGAUGUGAAAAUGCGGGGCUCAACCCCGUAUUGCGUUGGAAACUGCUAAACUAGAGUACUGGAGAGGUAGGCGGAACUACAAGUGUAGAGGUGAAAUUCGUAGAUAUUUGUAGGAAUGCCGAUGGGGAAGCCAGCCUACUGGACAGAUACUGACGCUAAAGCGCGAAAGCGUGGGUAGCAAACAGGAUUAGAUACCCUGGUAGUCCACGCCGUAAACGAUGAUUACUAGGUGUUGGGGGUCGAACCUCAGCGCCCAAGCUAACGCGAUAAGUAAUCCGCCUGGGGAGUACGUACGCAAGUAUGAAACUCAAAUGAAUUGACGGGG